GCCUGGGUAGCUCAGUCGGUUAAGCAGCCGACUUUGGCUCAGGUCAUGGUCUUGUGGUUCGUGGGUUCGAGCCCCACAUCAGGCU
rnacentral:tRNA from 1 species